rnacentral:rRNA from 1 species
UACGGAGGGUGCAAGCGUUAAUCGGAAUUACUGGGCGUAAAGCGUGCGCAGGCGGUUGGUUAAGUCUGUUGUGAAAUCCCCGAGCUCAACUUGGGAAUUGCAAUGGAUACUGGCAGGCUGGAGUAUGGUAGAGGAAGGUGGAAUUCCCGGUGUAGCAGUGAAAUGCGUAGAGAUCGGGAGGAACACCAGUGGCGAAGGCGGCCUUCUGGACCAAUACUGACGCCCAUGCACGAAAGCGUGGGGAGCAAACAGG